rnacentral:rRNA from 1 species
GACGUAGGGCGCAAGCGUUGUCCGGAAUUAUUGGGCGUAAAGAGCUCGUAGGCGGCCUGUUACGUCUGCUGUGAAAUCCCGGGGCUUAACCCCGGGCGUGCAGUGGAUACGGGCAGGCUGGAGGCAGGCAGGGGAGAACGGAAUUCCCGGUGUAGCGGUGAAAUGCGCAGAUAUCGGGAGGAACACCGGUGGCGAAGGCGGUUCUCUGGGCCUGUACUGACGCUGAGGAGCGAAAGCGUGGGGAGCGAACAGG